AAAAGAAAAAAGAAAAGAAAAGAAAAGAAAGAAAAAAGAAAAGAAAAAAGAAAAGAAAAAAGAAAAGAAAAAAGAAAAGAAAAAAAGAAAAAAACAGUUGCAGAUUCCUGAUCUUGUCUUGUCCCAGCUGAAUCACUGACUAGAGCAGGCAACUUUCUUGUUCACCUUGGCCUUACUGACUGAUUCUCCAGAAGAGAGAUGGACAUCAUCAGUCUGAACAUUAGCAGCCUCACAACAGCAGUUGACUCUAUACUUUCUGUAUAGCAGCUGGAGGAUAUUUUUGCCUUAUCUCAAGCCUCCUCAUGCCAAUUUCAGCUGUUGAAGAGGUACUCCAGCUUUAGGCUGUAUCAUGCUCCUUCAAGACAUGUUUCUUAAACCAAUAUCUGAUGUAGACAGGGAAAUGGGAGGUGUACAAGGGAUCAUGGUUUGUGAACAAGGAUAUCACACAACAACUAAAAUUAAAAGAAACAGUUAUUCCUCUGCAAUUAUUUCAAAUAUUAUGGUGUCAGCUGUGGAUUAAGCUGUAAAUGAUUCCAUUCUAUGAAGCUGCACUGGAAACUUGUGGGACUUGCUGAUGUAUGGCCUCAUUUGACCAGCCUGGUUCUGCCUCCAGAGAGCAGAAAGUAUGAGAGCAAAAACCAAGGAGCUGUGGACUUCCCCUCUUACAG
rnacentral:lncRNA from 1 species